AUGAAAAUAAGGCAAUUGACAAGUGUAGAGGUUGAUUGCAACAAAUGUGAAGAUAUGGUUGGGUAUAUGAGAGAGUUUGGAAAGGAUUUUAGGAAGGAGUUUGGCAAGGAACUUUACAAGAAAUUUGGCAAGGAGUAUGACAAAGAUUCAUGCACAAAAAAGCUUGAAAAACUAGGAAGAUGCUACAAAAUGAAAGGAAAAAAUAGUUAUUUGUUAACAAUUGCCCUAAUUAUUUUAUGGAUGUUAUUUGUUACUGCAUAUAAUAAGAUGUAA